rnacentral:tRNA from 4 species
GAGCGGUAGUUCAGUUGGUUAGAAUACCGGCCUGUCACGCCGGUGGUCGCGGGUUCGAGUCCCGUCCGCUCC